ACCUGCACCUUCAGCCAUCCUGUAAACAGUCCGAGGAGCCAAUCACCUGCUGACCUGCAGCACCACGUCACGCCACGUCCUCUUUGGAGUUUUCACAGAUCGAGGCUUCCCCGUUGCAGGAGGGACCGGGAAACAGCCGGGCCAGGACCGAGGCCAGGAUCCGGAGCUUCCUCCGGGCUCAGAACUACUGCUGGCGACCUGGUCCCCCAGAGUCGCUCUGAGCCAAACCACCUGUGGCGUCGACUCAUGUCUCUGACCGAGGCUAGAGGUGGGGGGGAGGAGGUGGAGGAGACACUUAACUACAACCUCUAUUUGUUUGAAUCCUUUCCCCCCUUCCCUCUUUACAUUUCCUGCCUCAUCGUGUCCUUUUAUUUCCCCUCUGCAGACUCCAGGUUCUCUGCCUUCCUCUCUGUCCCUCUCCCCUCAGUUUAAUCCUCGGCUCUCCAGAGGAGCAUUAGGGCAAGCAGCUGGGGCCCCCUGAACGCCUCUUGAAAAGGCAGCCCACUCUAACCAGGAGGGCGAGGAGGGAGGUGGAGGUGGGGUGGGGGGGCUGUUUCAGACCACCUGGCUCCUGAGACACAGAAAAAUCCACCGGCCAAUAACUCCACACUGAGAGGAGGAGGAGGAGGACUUGACGGCACAAUGUCUGGACUCACGCUCUUUCUUUCUUUUCUGGAAUUAAAGCUCAAAGCUGAUGUUGCUCUGCGGUCGUGUUCGUUCGCAAACUUUAUGAAAAUAUUAAACAAAAAAAUGUGUUAGUCAGUCUCUCUUUAAAUCCGAAGUUUUGUUGUUUCAUUUAGUUAAACUGCUUAGAAAUGUACCGAGACUAUUCGAUGGCAAUGUUUUCAGUUUCAACAGGAUGCCUGUUCACUCCUUUAUUUUGUGGGGGAUAUUAUUUAAAUAAAAAUACUUUUUGAUCCAUACUUUGUUGCUUUAUCGUGUCAUGAAAACCUUACAUAUAAUAAGCACUGAGAAAACACAUCAAAACAGAGAUGUAAACCUUCCGAACUCAUGGAUAGAAACGACUGGCGAACAUAUAUUAAACGUGUUUUUAUGUCACACAUGCCGAGAUGUUUCUUCUUUUAUCACACUCGCACAUUUCAGGCUGUUACCAUGAGAGGAAACAAAAAAGCUUCAUCUUGACCUGUGGUUACAGUGCACAGAGAAAGGUCAGAGGUCACGCGUUCAG
rnacentral:lncRNA from 1 species